UGGGGAAUAUUGCACAAUGGGCGAAAGCCUGAUGCAGCGACGCCGCGUGCGGGAUGAAGGCCUUCGGGUUGUAAACCGCUUUUGAUUGGGAGCAAGCGAGAGUGAGUGUACCUUUCGAAUAAGCACCGGCUAACUACGUGCCAGCAGCCGCGGUAAUACGUAGGGUGCAAGCGUUAUCCGGAAUUAUUGGGCGUAAAGAGCUCGUAGGCGGUUUGUCGCGUCUGGUGUGAAAGUCCAUCGCUUAACGGUGGAUCUGCGCCGGGUACGGGCAGGCUAGAGUGCGACAGGGGAGACUGGAAUUCCCGGUGUAACGGUGGAAUGUGUAGAUAUCGGGAAGAACACCAAUGGCGAAGGCAGGUCCCUGGGUCGUCACUGACGCUGAGGAGCGAAAGCGUGGGGAGCGAACAGGAUUAGAUACCCUGGUAGUCCACGCCGUAAACGGUGGAUGCUGGAUGUGGGGGCCCAU
rnacentral:rRNA from 1 species